CUUCUAUCCUCAAAAUUAACUUCUGAAAAUCUGAUUUGAUCAGGUCAAUGUAGUACUUAAACUAUUGUAUGGUUUUCAAAUGCCAUUAUCACUAAUAGUGUUUUCUGGGCAUGGCCAACACAGGUACAGAGCAUGAUUUGGCCCCUCUCACCUUCAUAGUUUCAUUUCAUAAGGCAUCAUGGCACCCUCCAGCUGGAGCUCCAGCCACAGAGGCAUCAGCGCAGUUUCUCUGAAUGGCCAUGCUCGUUCCUGCUCCAAGACCUCUGCAUAUGUUGUUCUUCUUUCUUCGUGGGACUCUCCUCCCUUCUGCAUCUGAUCUGGAGCACUCUAAGUAGAAACUAGUGCAAAGCAUCAUCCUGCUCUGUGAAUGAGGUAAAAGAAUAAUGAACACAGAAAUAAUUUGCACAUCAGUGGCCUUUGAUAUCAGCAGUGGACUUUAGUUGGAAACUGUCAGGAGAAGGAAAAAGCACUGGGACUUCCAAACAGUACACCUAAAUGAAGACAACCAGUCACUGUGUGUGGAAUAUGAAUAUUGUAGUCUUGGUUUUUCUGUUAAAUUAUUAGCUUUUUUUUCAACCUGUGACAAACUGUGAUGAAAAAUUUUCUCAGGCUAAUAAUAAUCCUGCCAUAACACAGGUAUUUUGCAAGUCUCAUUAAUGUUAGUAAAACCAACUCCAGUUAAUAGAAAGUGCUAUGCAAGUGCAAAUGGUUAUUAAAGAGACUGUGUACAAAUUAGAGAAAAAUGACUAAUAGUAACAUAUUGUUCUGGGAUGUCUUCCCCCAGGCAAGGCAAAAAAAUAUCAGUCAACUAGUCAGCCAGCCUUUAUUUAGUACCUAAUCUGUUCUCAAAAGUACCCAAGCCUAGGGAUGCAAGAGAAGCAGGUGGCCGCCACAUUAACAAGAACAACUAAUUCUGAUGGCUAAUGUUUAUUGAGAACUCACUAUAUGCCAGAAAAUUUCACCUGGAUUAGUCACAAUCUUCAUACCAACUCCGCAGUGUGUAAAUUUCCAUUCGCAUUUACAAAUGAACAGUCAUGGGAAAGUUGUAAAGAAGUUAAGUGUCUUACCAAAGGCUACACAAUGAGUAUAUGUGGAGUCCAGACUCACUCCGAAGCAGAUCUUCCUUCCACUCUGUCAUGUUUCUUUGGAAAUGGUACAGCACGUUGCCAAGAG
rnacentral:lncRNA from 10 species